CGGAUGUUAGGUUAAUAAAACUUUUUGCCUUCAAAGCUUCAGUUGCCUUCUGGCACGUCCGG
rnacentral:tRNA from 1 species